AGUGAACGCUGGCGGUAGGCCUAACACAUGCAAGUCGAACGGCAGCACAGUAAGAGCUUGCUCUUACGGGUGGCGAGUGGCGGACGGGUGAGGAAUACAUCGGAAUCUACUUUUUCGUGGGGGAUAACGUAGGGAAACUUACGCUAAUACCGCAUACGACCUACGGGUGAAAGCAGGGGAUCUUCGGACCUUGCGCGAUUGAAUGAGCCGAUGUCGGAUUAGCUAGUUGGCGGGGUAAAGGCCCACCAAGGCGACGAUCCGUAGCUGGUCUGAGAGGAUGAUCAGCCACACUGGAACUGAGACACGGUCCAGACUCCUACGGGAGGCAGCAGUGGGGAAUAUUGGACAAUGGGCGCAAGCCUGAUCCAGCCAUACCGCGUGGGUGAAGAAGGCUUUCGGGUUGUAAGGCCCUUUUGUUGGGAAAGAAAAGCAGCAGGUUAAUACCCCGCUGUUCUGACGGUACCCAAAGAAUAAGCACCGGCUAACUUCGUG
rnacentral:rRNA from 1 species